GGGGCCGGAUUGGUUUCGACAGCAGGGACAGUGGAUUAGCUUGCAUGCCGAGGAUGGGAUGUGACCUCGUAAAUCAUCAUUCCAAACAAAUAAAUGGCAACGAUUAUUCUGUUGCAUUAGCUGCCUAAUCUAGAGAUUAGAAGCUAAUUGCCUCCCCAGAAGCUGUGCUCAAUGGCGUCUGGGAUAAGGUAUCAUAAAAAUUGAGCUCACUUAGAGUGAAGCUACGACCUCUAAGUGAUAUAUUGUAGCUUUGGAAUUUGGUGGGAGCCUAUCCCCUAACCAAAUUCUGAAAUAUAAUAGAUAGGCUAAGCAUGUAGACAGCUAUUUUGCUGACUGCUUGGACGAGGGUUCGACUCCCUCCGGCUCCAUUU
rnacentral:tmRNA from 1 species